GAUGAAGAACGCAGCGAAAUGCGAUACGUAAUGUGAAUUGCAGAUUUCAGUGAAUCAUCGAAUCUUUGAACGCACAUUGCGCCCGCUAGUAUUCUGGCGGGCAUGCCUGUUCGAGCGUCAUUUCAACCAUCAAGCCCCCGGCUUGCGUUGGAGCCCUGCGGCUGCCGCAGGCUCCCAAAUCCAGUGGCGGGCUCGUCGUCGUACCGAGUGCAGUAAACAUCCUCGUUCAGGGAACGUGACGGGUUCUUGCCGUGAAACCCCCCACAUAUCAAGGUUGACCUCGGAUCAGGUAGGAAUACCCGCUGAACUUAAGCAUAUCAAUAAGCGGAGGA
rnacentral:misc_RNA from 1 species